UAGGUAAUGGAAUUUCUGCCUGAUGUUUGAUCCACAAGUAAGUAUUGUGGCCACAUUUACAGAUUCCCAGUGAACCAACCCAUUAUGUUUGGUGCUACUUUGAAUUUGACUGAAACCAGGGCCAAUCAUAAAUUAGUUAACAGAAGCAGUGUGUGAUCCUUGGUUUUGAGUAAGAACUGAGUUUAGUUGGUUAGGCUGGGGGGAAAUUCUAAAAAUAAAAAGUUUAAAGGAAACCAUUCUCUCUCUUCCCACUUCUCUCUGCCCCAUUCCCAACCGUGUUCCCAUUUUCCCUUAUUCCUCCAUCUCUGCUUUACUGGGUUUCUUUCUCCUGAAGGAAAUGUGUCUUCUCAUAGUUUAAUACUAAUUCCUCUGUGCAGUAAACACUAAAUGCAUGGGGAGCUUCUGUGUCCUCAACCCUUAUAGCAAACUGCCUGACAAACUGCUUUUAAGUCUCAAGGAACUGGUAUUUCAAAUGUGAUUUUGUUUUUGUACUAUAGAAUGAGAUUUUUUUUGGAAAGAAAAUUAAGUAAGACAUUCAAAUGCAUGUGUGCAAAUAUAAUCACUUUCUGAAUUGUUGAAGGCUUUCACGGCCAGAUUCUUUCAAUAAUCACUUUCUGUUUGGGUUCUGUGGGUAUAAUUUGGGAACAGAAUUUCCAUGACAAAUUGUUGUUGUUAUUUUUAAAAAACACCCCUUUAACUCAACCUUUUUGCUGUACAGAAAAAUCCAACAAAACUGAUGUAACUAGCAGUACAAUCCAGAGUAGGGGAAGGGAGAGAGGCAAAAGGCUCUGGAUGAGGUGUGACCCCUGAGCAGUGUGGAUGCCACUUAACAUGGUAUAUAACAUGGUGGUUGUUAGUGAGAGGUUAGUCAGAGGAAGAAGUUCUCAAAUUAAUAAUAAUGUAACAAGAAGAUGAAAGGAGUCCAAGUGAAAAGAAAGGGCAUGCACGUUUCAGUCUGGGAAAUUUUUACCUGGAUUAAACUGAUUUAUGUUAGCGAUAACAGUACCCAUGUAUCCUAUGUAAGCCGCCCUGAGUCUUUUAGGAGAGUGGGUGGUUAUAAGUGUAAAACAAACAAACAAACAAAAAUAAAUAAAUAAAUAAAUAAAUAAAUAAAUAAAUAAAUAAAAAAAAUUACAAUGCUGGCAGGAACACUUGGGACAAAAACAUUAACAUUAACAACACCUACAUAUGGUUGAUAGAAUAAAUAAUCAAAUACGCAAUUUAUCCUUUGAGACGUAUAAGAUGAAUUGGAAUUUACAGGUGGAAUAUGUUAUGAGAGACAAAGGUGUACAUGUUUUAUCUAUAGAAUGUUGAAAUAGUAGCUAAUACAAUAUUGUGAAAUAAAGAAUUCUAUAACAGAAUAGAUUAGAUUUUGAGACAAUUUUAAAGAGAAAGGAUUGAGAUAAUAAUAAUGUUAGAGGAAAUAACUGUUUUGAGUUAUUGUUUAGUAUCUGAUUGUUUGUUAUGAUACUUUAUUUAGACAUGAUAUAUUUGGGUGAUGACUAUGUAUUUUUAAGAUUUAUGUAAAUAAUUUGAAAAAAUCUCAAUAAAAUAUUUAUAGAUUUUAAAAAAUAUAUGUCCACAAUUCAUUAACAGUAUUUACAAAAUAGAUAAAAGAAUUUUAAAUUGUUAUCUAGUUUCCAUUUCCAGUUAUAUAGUCAACAUCAGACAUAUCUCAUAUUGUAACCCCCAAGCCAUUACUGGACGCAUGGCAACUUUAGGCCAGCUGCUUGUUAAAGUUUCUAAUUUUUCCCUCCUUAUUCUUCCAAAAGAUUGAUAAACUGCAACCUUUAAAUUCAUACUGGAUGGAAGGCAAAUUUCAAAGGUUUAUGUACCCAACCCUGAAUAUUCUAUCAACCAAUCUCUUCAAAGAACCAGACGAAAUAAAAUACCUACUUUUAAGAAAGCAAAUCCCUGUUCAUUAUCUUAAUUAAGGAAAAGCAGAACACAUUCUACCUCCUUUCUCUAUUUGCUAGUAAUCUUACAAUGUUUUAAUUGUCUAUUAAUUUUGCCUGGGUGAAGGUAAAAAUGAGUUCCCAGUAUUAGAAAGAAGUUUACCC